AUUGAACGCUGGCGGCAUGCUUUACACAUGCAAGUCGAACGCGAAAGGGGGGCAACUCCUGAGUAGAGUGGCGCACGGGUGAGUAAUACAUCGGAACGUGUCCUGUAAUGGGGGAUAACGCAGCGAAAGCUGUGCUAAUACCGCAUACGUCCUACGGGAGAAAGUGGGGGACCGCAAGGCCUCACGUUAUAGGAGCGGCCGAUGCCGGAUUAGCUAGUUGGUGGGGUAAAGGCUCACCAAGGCAACGAUCCGUAGCUGGUCUGAGAGGAUGAUCAGCCACACUGGGACUGAGACACGGCCCAGACUCCUACGGGAGGCAGCAGUGGGGAAUUUUGGACAAUGGGCGCAAGCCUGAUCCAGCCAUGCCGCGUGAGUGAAGAAGG
rnacentral:rRNA from 1 species